rnacentral:rRNA from 1 species
UACAUGGGGUGCAAACGUUGCUCGGAAUUAUUGGGCGUAAAGCGCACGUAGGCGGUUUGUUAAGUCGGAUGUGAAAUCCCUCGGCUCAACUGGAGGAAGUGCACCCGAAACUGGCAGGCUUGAGUACUAAAGAGGGUCGCGGAAUUCCCGGUGUAGAGGUGAAAUUCGUAGAUAUCGGGAGGAACACCGGUGGCGAAGGCAGCUCGCUGGGACGGUACUGACGCUGAGACACGAAAGCGUGGGGAGCAAACAGG